AUUGAACGCUGGCGGCAGGCCUAACACAUGCAAGUCGAGCCGAUGAGUGGAGCUUGCUCCAUGAUUCAGCGGCGGACGGGUGAGUAAUGCCUAGGAAUCUGCCUGGUAGUGGGGGACAACGUUUCGAAAGGAACGCUAAUACCGCAUACGUCCUACGGGAGAAAGUGGGGGAUCUUCGGACCUCACGCUAUCAGAUGAGCCUAGGUCGGAUUAGCUAGUUGGUGAGGUAAAGGCUCACCAAGGCGACGAUCCGUAACUGGUCUGAGAGGAUGAUCAGUCACACUGGAACUGGGACACGGUCCAGACUCCUACGGGAGGCAGCAGUGGGGAAUAUUGGACAAUGGGCGAAAGCCUGAUCCAGCCAUGCCGCGUGUGUGAAGAAGGUCUUCGGAUUGUAAAGCACUUUAAGUUGGGAGGAAGGGCAGUAAGUUAAUACCUUGCUGUUUUGACGUUACCAACAGAAUAAGCACCGGCUAACCUCGUGCCAGCCGCCGCAGUAAUAC
rnacentral:rRNA from 1 species